rnacentral:lncRNA from 1 species
UAAACAAACCUUGUAAGCCAUUAUCAAAUGCUGUAUGAAUGUUCCCUUAAAAUUAAAAUAAGCAAAAUAAAAUCAUCCUUGUGAUCACCUGUCCACAAAAACAUCAUUUAAGAAACUAUUUUUACAAGUACUAAGAGAGGCAGCACAGAUAUAUUAGUCCCUGCUUUUAGCAUAAUAAUAAGAAAAAUUCAAAGAAGAAAGGAAAAGGUGACCUGGAUUCCCCAAGUCCCAAGCAAAGCGAUAUAGAGAGAUGGACUUGUACUUGGAAAAGGGAGGGACAAGUAAGUCUAAGCUUGGUACUUGCAGCCCAGUACUCAGCAGAUUCCCACCUCCACCAUCCCUAGACUUGUACCUGCAGCCAAGGGAGUGCCUCCACUAGCCCUUCCGCUCUUUGUGCCUUACAGCAAUGAGAAAUACCAUAGACUUGACAAAGUAGGAUACAGAAGUAAGCAUGAGAUGUGUCUUUGAGCACAGUGCUAUCUGGUUGAACUCUAAGAGGAGUUACCAAUGACUGUACCCUCACACCGAUGCCUAACUUUUCUACCAGGUAGAGCCUGGAACCCUAUUCAGACUUUUAUCCUGCAGUGGCCUUAGCCCACAAGUCCACCAUUAUAGCAGUAAGACCACAGGAGUGUGGUCCUUGGUCCUGUCCCUGUGCUAUACUACUCAGAUUGGGUUCUAAGCUCUGGUGCAGCCUGGCAUUGUGAUGUUGAUGGCCCUGGAUAUGCCUGCCUAGCUUACCACUGAUCACAGGCAGUGUCCAGCUGGAGAAAAGGAGAAUGGCAUCACAUCAUUGCAUAGGAACCUAGGGCUGGCAUUUUACUGCCUAUGAAGUUUGUCCAUGCAGAACCUCAGAGUGCCUGACUGUAGGGUGGUAUUUAUGGAUGAAGUCUGUGGGCCUACCUGAGCCCCAAGUAGAGGCUCGCUAGGACAGGAUAGCCUUUUUUGGCUAUUUUAAAACAAUAACCUAUUUCCUAACAACAUAGCAGCUGUGAAGAGGGCACAGACUUGGAACUGUGGAGCCCUCUAGUGCUAAAAUAGUGACAACACAUCAGCCAGAACUCACAGCAAACCUAAGCUUAGCUCACCACCUAGUGCUAAUAUAGUGGCAGAAACUUGGCUUACCAUUUCUGGAAGGGAAAACGCAAAGCCAAAUUGGGAGGAGUCUGAAUAGUCAAUGUCAUAUGCCAACAACCUCCAAAAACUUUCAGGGAUAUAAAGUUAAUUGUUGUAUUUCAUCUGUUUCAUGGAUGUUUUUGCUUUUCGUGGUGGCUAAAUGCAUUAAAGGUAUUCGACACUUAAAGUAUAAAAUUUAACGUGACAUUGGACAGCUUCCAUUCCAAAUGGUUAUUCUAACUAAAUAGAAGUUCACUGGGUUGUACAGACUUCAGCUCUGGGUAAUUUGGACAUGUGAUUGGGGUGCUUUUAUUUAUUGUGAUUUUACUUAAAAAUUUGGUAAACACUAAAAAAAAAAAAAAUCCUUUGGAGCAGUUAAUACUAUACCUAGAACAC